AACUAAUUAGAGAAAAACCACCAUUAUAAAAGUUGUCAGCCCCUCUCUGUCUUAGAGACAUCAAGUCCUCUUGGGGAAGGUAUGUCAUUGAGGGGGCCUUUUUUGGGGGGUGCCAUACCCGGGGCGUGUGAAAGUUCCCAGGCCAGGGACCAAACUCGAGUCAAAGCUGCAACAUGUACCACAGCUUUAGCAACGCGGAUUCUUAAGCCUCCGCACCCCACAGGAGCUUCCUUGAGGGCCUUUUUACCCCCUUUAACUGUCUAAAUACGAUGCAAGCAGGCACACACACACCCCCCCCCCUUGGGGAAAGGAUACAAGGUAAUCCUCGGUGACUCAGCCAAGUUGGCUCCCAGUACCCCUGCGUAUGAAAACCUACUACGGCAGAUGAAUGCAAAUACGCCCGGCGUCCAACUCCCUCCCAGGAACAAAGACUGAAACCUAGACCCCUUUCUUUUGAGGUUCAAUAUUAUUAGAAUUUCUUUGACAGAGAUACUAAGAUAAGUUCAAAGUAGGAAGGGACAGUAAGAGCCUACAGCAACGCUUAACGAUGAGAAGAGAGAGAGUCUGAAGGGGUGUGCCGAGCUCAACACCACAACCAAAACGAUUACCAAGACGGCUGGCUCUGGAACUGAAAUGUGGCUAAAUCAGCCAACUAGGAAUUGUAGGGGCUCCCUUCUCCAUAAAGGAGCAUAUGUAGAUAUACAGACUAUAUAAGCAUGUAAACUAUACAGACAUACAGACUAGACAGAUACAUAAACUAUACAGAUAUAGAGCCUAGAGAGAAAGUGUAUAAACUACAUAGACUAUAUAGACAUGUAGGUUAUGUGGAUGUGUAAACUACAUAGNGACUAUAUAGACAUGUAGGUUAUGUGGAUAUGUAAAUAUAUAAACUAAGGAGCAUCUCCUGAGAGCUCAAGCACAGGGGAGCCCAGGCCACGUGUGACACAGAAGGAACACUAACACCCGUCACUUUUGCAGAGCCAAGUCCUCACGGCCACAGGAAAUAAGGAAACAAACUACUGUAAGAGGUUCUUUCUAGAAAGCCACACUGUGUCAUCAUCAACAGAAUCCAAAACAUGGAACCUGCGACCGAUCACCCGAUGGGUAAGAUUCUCUAGUCCUCUAUCUGGAUUUAAGUCUGACUCCUUAGACUUCUUGAGUACUUCAGAAAGAGGGAGGAGGAAACAUCCCAAGAGAGACAAAUGGAAUUCCCUAAUAAUUUCACACGCGUUCAAGAGAUUUUAAUCUGCAUAUGGAGAUAUUGGCCUUAUUUGUACUCCGAGCUAAUGACCAUCUGAUGAGCGCUGCCAUAGCCACCGCACUUUAAUUUCUAUGCCGGCCCACCCACAGGGCUCUAAUUAUGUCUUCUGAAGCCACAAAGAAAAACAAGUUGAUGUUUCUCUUCCAAAGAACGGCCUGUCAAGAGGAGGAAAACAAUGAUUACAUUUCAGGGCUUCCCAACCUGGCUCCUGCAACCCCUCUUUAAAGGACUAGAUUUCAAGGCCCCUCUCCAUCCUGCCUCCUCUACAUACCUACGCUCUGGCCUGUCCAUGACGCCCUUACGGUGCCUCGCCCAGAACGGGCUGCAGCCUGCCGCGGGGACUGCUGCGUCUUCUCACCACCUGUACUUCCGUAUGUCCCUACGUGAGCCAGGAGCCAGGCCCUUUUUCAGAUCCGACAUUAUACCCUGCGAGGAGGCUCAUGGUCCAGCCCAGUCUCCAUAGGCUUGGAGCGGCAAGGCCUGCGCCUAAGGCAAGCAGUUCUGCCCGCUCUGGCCCUGGGAUCCUAGGGACGCUGGGAGCUGUGUUAUCCCUUCCCACUGCCGACCUCUGGGCCUCCCGCUCCCCAAGACUCUUUCAGGGCUUAGACUGUGAGCCUGGGUCAUCCUGCUCCUUAACGCACCUGUGCAGCAGGGCCAGGUGGGCAAAGGCAGGACCACAGAGAAGAGACCGAAACCAGGACAGCCCAGAAGUUAAGAAGAUGGGCUGUGGAGUCCAAGCGCCCGGCUUCCAAUUCCGGUUCUACGACUUACUAACCAUGAGACCUUGAGCAAGUCGCUGAACUCCUCUGUACCUCAGUUUCCCGCUCUGUGGAAGGAGGAUAAUGCAGUGGUGCCCACUGACAGACAUGCCGAUGCCCUGACUGCAGGGGAGAGGUCACAGAGCUGUCUACACUUGUCAGGACUCAAACUGCACACUUACAAUGAGGGCAUUUUACUGUGUAUAAAUUCUAUCCCAAUAAAAUCAAUUUGAAAGGUAAAAAAAAAAAAACCAAAAAUUUCAGUAACUACUCUUAGAGGACUGUGAGGAUUAAAAGAAUUUUGAAAUACCUAAAACAGUCCAAGAAAUGUUGACUUGUGAUGGCGUCUCCGAGGCUGCACACAAUCUCUGUGCCCUGUGCUUGCUGCUGCAGAGCAAGGAGGGGGCUGAAAACCCAAAGGAAUCCUCAGCUAGCCGAGAUGCUUCAUUCCAGACCUGGCUCUCACCAGAUAAACACCAGUGUCACAAACCACACCUCGUCCAUGCUCCAGCCAGGGCGGCAUUGGACACGACGAAAGCCAAGCCACAGGAAUCAUCAUCAAAACCAAAGAUAUUGCAGGGAAGCUGGGAGGGCUCUGCUUUCUUUGGUCUUCUGGCUUAGCCUAUGAGGUCUUCCCGGGCCAGCUCGGGGUUUUACUCAGUCUUUCGCCAAGUCUCCCCUGAACGCCUUCGUGGCCCGGCGCAGGCAGGAGGAAGGGGCGACAGGAGGAAAAGAUAGCAAGAGUCCCGGCUCCCUCGCCCUCACCACGUUCACAAUCUAUAGGAAUUGCAGGCAGCAGGAGCAAUGAGCAAUGGUAUCGGGGCAAGAGCAGCAGCCAGCCUCGCCUGGCACUUCCCCCGCCACAGGCCUGCGGCAAACCUCCCUUCCCUCCUCUGUGAAAAGAUGAGAAGAAGCAAUCUCACAGUCGAAAAACAUGUGUAAUAGGACGUGUUUCGAGCUCUGGGCCCUGUGAGAAAUCCCCGGGGAGCCCAGUGAGCUCAUUUAGAAGAACUCAUUGUCUUCGGUCCAGAACGCGACAGGGGAGGGCCUCGCCCUGCAGCUGCCGCUGCGACAAGGAUGGCAGGCCUGGUCUGGAGGGAGGCCUUCCAGCUGCUGUUACAGGGAACGCGUUCAAUUCCACGUUCUCACCUUCCACUGCCCCACGAGGCCAAACCUGCAAAUGAAGGGUCCCGGGUGCCAAGCGAGCUCAUUUCUGGCAUUUCCUCCCUCCUCACUCCCUGUAUCGGGCCCAAGGGCCUCGCCGAGCCUGUGAGGCGCAGGGCGAGGUGCAGCAAAGCAGGCCCAGGCCGCCUCUGGGAGCACCCCCUGUGCUCUGGAAGUCAGCUACCGGG
rnacentral:lncRNA from 1 species